CAGCCGCCACGGGAAUACAGAGGGUGCGAGCGUUAAUCGGAUUUACUGGGCGUAAAGCGUGCGUAGGCGGCUUCUUAAGUCGGAUGUGAAACCCCUGAGCUUAACUUAGGAAUUGCAUUCGAUACUGGGAAGCUAGAGUAUGGGAGAGGAUGGUAGAAUUCCAGGUGUAGCGGUGAAAUGCGUAGAGAUCUGGAGGAAUACCGAUGGCGAAGGCAGCCAUCUGGCCUAAUACUGACGCUGAGGUACGAAAGCAUGGGGAGCAAACAGGAUUAGAGACCCGCGUAGUCCCUGUCUCUUAUAU
rnacentral:rRNA from 1 species